rnacentral:lncRNA from 1 species
GAAAGUAAUUUAAAGUGAUAACCAACAUUAAUUCAAAACAAUCGAUGUUCAACAAUUACCCAUAGCUACAACCCCAGAACAAGGGUCUUUAGCUGCUAAUGUCUAAGAAAAGAAGAAGAAGAAAAGAACCCUAUAAAGUAUUGACAAAUUUUCCUUCCCAAGUACCUCUAAUUGAUCUCCCAAAUAAUUAUUUCAAGGGACUAUUUAUAAAUGUAGGAAAUCCUGAAUAAAAUAAUUGAUUCCAAAACAAAUUAGAAAACAAAAACCCAAACGAAUUUUGCGUGAACAGUUGUAACCGCCUUAGUUUCCUGCCCUUCUUCAUGUGAUGCCACGUGGAAAUUUCCAAUUCCAAUUCUACUUCGACCAACGUAUAUAUUAUUUUAUAAAAUUUAAUUCAUUAAGCUGUCGGCUUGAUUUCCUUCUUUAACCUUCCAUCUUUAAUUUAUUUUAGCUCCAAACUUCUUCAACUUUACACCAAUUUUCUCCUACAAAUAAAAUAUAUUAUUUAACACAAUCCAUAAAAUUAACUCUCAAACAGGAUAAAUAAAAAUACUAAAUGUGAGACAAAUAAUGAUAAGAAAAUAUAUUUUUGGCCUCACAUAAACACCCCACACUUAAGCUUUUGCUCGUCCUCGAGCAAAUAUUAAAGCUCAUCUAAAAAAAAUCAAACUAGGAAUGUCAUCACUUUGGUUGACACAAACAAUUAGGCCAUAUACCAAUUUCAAAACAUCAAGUACACUUCUCAAUCAUUAUGCAAGACCUUUAAAUAAAUAACAAACCUCUAAUGUCCUACCCUCAAGGAAGGACUUUGAACUCAUCAAAUUUAAGCUUGCUCCCCUAGUCUCAUCAAAGAAAGCUAAUAAAAUCACAUAUCUAUCAUGAAACAAGUGCCCUCAUAAAAAGAAAUAGUCCACACACUCAAUUUAAAAGAUUGAAUAUCAAUUAAGGACUUAGCAUCAAGGAACAACUCUCACACUCACAAAUAAAAUUCACAUGUAUGCACAAAGAACCAUAGGCUGCCCGUUAUUUACAUCUCCACUAAUUAAGCAUAUUUGAUCAUAAUCAAAUAGGAAAUGUAGGCUAGGGGACGGGUAGUAGAACUAUAUAAUAGUGACUUACACUUCCUUAAGCACUUUGCACUUUUAAGACUUCAUCACCCAUUAUUUUCUUCUCUUUAUUUUCAGCCCUCUCUUCAACAAUUAUUUCACAAGUAAUUCUCAUCAUCUCAUGAAUGCUUCAAUCAGUUUUUUUCUCUUUUUUUUUCAUGUCACGUGCUUUCAAAGAGGGAUUUUUAAGCACUUUGUAGCUAUUAUUGAUUACUUUUUCACUCAACCAUCUCUUUUUCUUCAGAAUUAAUAAUUAGAAUAAGUCUAUGCUAUAAUGAUCAAGGAAGCAAGGUGCCAAAACUAGGAAUUCAAUAAAAUAGUUUAGGGCAAAAUAUGGCUACCAACAAAAAGGCUACAUGAUCAAAAGGGCUAAUUAGUGAUAUAAUAUCUAAAAAGGCUAAAAUUUAUGAGACAAAACAAACAAAGCCUAUUAUUAUCUCCUAAACAAAGCAACACUUUUUAUUUUGCUUCAAUAACAUGCAGAGAAAGUUCUAGACUAAGAUGCAAAACAUGGAAUAACCAAAUUUUCACCACACAUGACACAAGUAUCAAUCAACAUGAAUCAAUUCCACUUCUAAGAGAGACAGGAUCAUAACAAACUACAAAAUAAAAUAAGUUAUAUACAAAGUCACAACCAUGAGCUUAGGUGUCAAAGAGUCUGCAAUUUCCUUAUCAAUCAAGCAUUCACAAGAAAGUACUACUAAAAAAGUAGGCCUAAUUAGCAAGUAUCACACCACUCAAAAGGGUCUUUUCUUUUCUCUCAAAAAAACUAAAAGAAAAUUUAUUUCUAAAAACUAAAAGACACUCGGUUCAAAAAGACUAUCCUCCGAAAAAGAACCGAAAACAAAAGUCAAGGAACCCAUCCUAAAAAAAAGUAAAAGACUCAAUAAAACAGUAAAAACUAGGAAUUCAUUCCUCCACCUCACAUUUAAAAAGAUGAUACGUCCCCAAAGCAUUGAGAUACAAUUUAAACAAGGGUUAGGAAAACCCCCUGAGGCCUUUAGGCCUAGUUAGUAGCAUGUGCUCUUAAUUUUCAUCAAGGGUCAUCACCCAACACUUAAGCUCAAACAUGCUUCUUUUCUUCAUAUUUUUGGGUACUCAGACGUCCCCUAACCUGCAAACACAACACAAAAAAAUGACACUAAAAAAAAGAAGAAAAAGGGUACACUAUAAAUUGGGUUGCCUCGCAAUAAGCGGCUAAUUUAACAUCGCGUCACGACACAAGUAAGUUCACCAUUUUUCUUUCCACUUUGAACUAAUGAAUCGUACCCCUAACUUUGCAUCAAUUUUUCUACUCCUUUCUAGGAAAGGUGGUAUAAAGAUAAAGGAACAAAGUAAUAUAUGUCGCAUCUUGCACUUCUUGGCCCUUUGGUGAGGAAUAUCGUUUUGUCUACGUGGACCAAAAAACUUUAGGAUGUAGGGGAUUUGUACCUCAUCUAUACACUCAUCCAUUAGUUCAGAUGAUAUAGAAAAGUGUUUUGAAUGAGAUUCAAUUUGUUUCAACUCGAAAGCAACAUUUUUUACAACAUUCUCACUUUUGUACUCUUUCUCAACAUCGAUAUUAAGGAAUAAGGUAUAGUUGAAUGGUUGAAAUUCCUCUUUUUGCUCCACUAGUUGGUCAUCAUCCAUGACAUUUGGUAAUUGGGCUUCAGAUGCCUCAAUCUUUUUGUUCAAGUUAGCCUCUAAGUCAUGAAUAUCUGAGCCAAAUUGAUUUAUUUCUUGUGUGAGCUCAACUAUUCCUUCAAUCAGUUGGGUUGUCAUGUAUAUUAGGCCAUAACAGAUAGACUCUUGAAACUUUAGAAGUUGAGUUUGUUCUUGUAGCCAAGAUUGGCUCACUAUCUCUGUUUCUCCAUAACUUUCUCGUUGUUGGGCUUCAAUCUCUUCUAAUUUAGCUUAGACUAUAAUUUCUAAUUGAACAGCGUCAAGCUUAUCCUGCAGUUUCAUGAUUUUUGAUAGCUCUUUCGCGCAUUCAAAUAUUUGUUCGGUGAUUUUUUAAUUAACUUUGUCCAGCAUGUCUGUACAUUCCAUAAGUGAGUUCACAUUGCGCGCCUCUUGUUUGGCAUUCUCCACUUCGUCACCCCUUCCAACAUCACAAAUAACAGAAGAAUCAUAAUAGGGGUUCGGUGGAAGGGAAUAAGAUUUAGGAGAACCAUUCCAAUGAAUAUAUUGAUGAUCACAUAUAUGACAUAUAGGACACUCGAUAUCCAAGUGGUGUCCAUUACAAUAGUUACAAGGAUUUUUAUAAGAAUACUUAUUACCCAACCACGAUUUUUUUCAAUCAUCCAUGGCAAUAAAAGUACCAAAUUAUUCAAAGAAAAAUAAUAAUAAUUAAUUGUUUCAAAAAAAAUUAAUUAAAAAUCAAUAAAUAAAUAAAUAGAAAAGUAUAACCUAGAAGAAUAGUUAAUUUCAAAGUCUCCGGCAGCGGCGUCAAAAACUUGUUGCUCCCAAUUGCACACACAAGUGUACGUGGUCGCGCAUGUAAUAUAAUGGCUCUUAAAAGAACUAGAUUAUUGAACCCAAAGAACUUGUCAAUUAACAUUUACUAAAUUAUACUAAUUAUUUAUGUCAGAGCGCAUAAUUUGAUUUUUAUUUGUAAAUGAAAGAAUGUAGGAAUGAAAUAAUAUAAUUACUUACAUCUCAUGCAUGAAUUAACUACGGUUAUCAAAUUACUGAUUUACAGGGUUGAUUUUAUGAUCAUGGUCUCCCGACCUCUAAUCGCCUACUCCAAUUAGCUGUCUAACUACAUCGUUGAGCGGGGAUAGACAGUCCUAAUUGGCGAGCAUUUAUAUUUCAUCAUGUUUCGUAACCAAGCUAGGUGUUCGUCCGGGCAUUACUCCGAAAUACAAAUCAACUCAAUUUAAUGAGAGAUCAAGCUUUAUGUAUCCUUUGGUCUAUCUACCUUGGCAUCUCCCGAGUUUAAGAGUAGACAAGAGAUUUAUUUCUAUGGUGAUCAAGCAUGAAAUACUAAAACAAAAAUACAAAAGUAAUUUAAAGUGAUAACCAACAUUAAUUAAAAAUAAUCGAUGUUCAACAAUUACCCAUAGCAACAACCCUAGAACAAGGGUCUUUAGCUACUAAUGUCUAUGAAAAGAAGAAGAAGAAUAAGAAAAAGACCCUAAAAAGUAUUGACAACUUUUCCUUCCCAAGUACGUCUAAUUGAUCUCCCCCAAUAAUUAUUUCUAGGGAAUAUUUGUAGAUGUGGGAAACCCUGAAAAAAAUAAUUAAGUCUAAAACAAAUUAGGAAAACCAAAACCCAAACAGAUUUUGCUGAACAGUUGUAACCGCCUCAGUUUCCUACCCCUCUUAAUGUGAUGCCACUUGGAAAUUUCCAAUUCCUAAUAUAUUCGACCAACACAUUAUUUUAUCAAAUUUAAUCCAUUAAGCUUUUAUCUUUAAUUAAUGUUAGCUCCAAACUUCUACAACCUUACACCAAUUUAUUCCUACAAAUAAUAUAUAGUACUUAGCACAUUCUAUAAAAUUCAUGCUCAAAAAGGAUAAAUAAAAAUAAUAAAUGUGAGACAAAUAAUGGUAAGAAAAUAUAUUUUGGCCUCACAUCACCCAUCGACAAUGUUCCUACCCAAUGAGAACCCUUAAAUGGGAUUCAAUGUUUGAUCCGGAGGAAGAAACAACAACAACCAUUGUGUGCAUAUCUUUUCCAUCCCUUCACCGAAUUUCUUUGUGAAAGAGGCAAUAUUCUCAUAGGCUGUUGCGGUGGGGAAGUCGUUGAAAGUUGUAUGGCAACAAAGAAUCAAACUAGACCUAAUUUUGCUAGGGUGAUGGUCGAGGUUGAUCUGUUAGGUUAUUUUCAAAAAGAAUAAAAAUUAGAGUUAGGAAGCAAUCAUGGAUGGAAAAAUUGGUGCGGAUAAAUUAUGAUCAUGUCCCAAAAUAUUGUGCUAAUUGUCAAUUGCAAGGACAAAAUGUGCAUGAAUGUUAUGCAUUACACCUUUAAUGGUAUCCUAAGAAAACGGAGGGGACUACAAAGGAGAAAGGGGAGAUACAGAAUGAUAGAAUAAAUAUAAAAGUUAUAGAGAGGAAAAACCAACAAUGGGAUGGAUUACCCAGAAGGAGGAGGAAAAUGAGGAAUUUCAAGUGCAAAGAAACAGAAAACAUCUAGGGAGGGGAAGAAUACAAGUGUGGAAUCCGAAAACAACACAACCAGAGAAGGGGGUGAAGGAGAUGAUGACUACAGGAAAUCAAUUUGAAGCUCUACAUGAUCCAGAUCUAAGGGAUGCAGAGGAAACGGGAACAAAGGAGAAAACACCGACAAAUAAGUGGGUAGGUAAACCAAAAGGGGAUGAGGAACAAAGAAAUACAAUAGAACAUGAAAAGGAGGUAUCAAAGGAGAAAAAUCAGGAUCAAAAUGAAAUAACAUCAAGUUACAUGGAGGAGGGUUUAACAUUGACAGUAUAGAAGCCAAAUUGUGGUGUGGAAAAGAUAUCACCACAGCCGAUAAGCAUAACAGUGCUCACAAGAUAAGAAUUUUACAGACAUACAUGAGCUCACUCCAGAACAAAAUAGAAGUUGUCAGGGAGAAGAAGAAGAUGAGGACUUGGAGCUAAAAAUUCUUAGUGCAGAUAUAUUAUUCUAGCCCACAUAAUAUUUGAUUCCCUACAACUUCCCUAAGCCCUCAUAUCUACCAACUUCUACCCAAUCUCCUGAGCUUUGGCUCUAUUUAGGCCUCUCCCAUAUAAUCUUUGAUUGGUCACAUACCCCAUUUUUUUUCCUUCUUCUUUUUUAUCCAAAGAUCUAAAUUCAUAACUACAAGCUUACGUUAGAUUAUAUAAUUUUCAGUUAGGACAAACUUUCAAUUCUUACAUACGCCUUUGUCACUCUUUAUAAGGAUCAAGUAAAUUAUUUGAUUCUUAGCCAACGCAAUAUGAAAGGUCACCAAAUGUUUCUCUUUGUUUUUGGAAGCUCAAUUUAUCUAUGACAACACAAAAACAUCCAUGAAGUCUAAACAAACUCUUCCUUCAUAUCUAUCCCCAAAGUCAAAGUCCUCAUAUAUAUCAUCAUAACCUCUUCGAGGAUUCCCUAUGUGAUGCUUAAAAUAUCCUCAUAUCAAAAUUUUCUUGGUCUACGAGAUACCUCUCAUAACCUUGUCCAAGUGAUCCUUCCUGAUAUAUUGUCUUCUCUAUGCAAACCAUUUGUGGUCCAUAUGCAUUUAUUCCAUUAAGAGCUACCGUCCCAGAGUUGUUUAAUGAUCAUCAUCCUAUCAUUCACCUUCCUAACCACCACCAUUUUCUCCAUAUGUUUCAUAUCUUCUAAAAGGUCUAAUUCAUUCUAAUUCAACUACCUAAUAAUGACAAAAAGUAGAAAAUCAUGAUUGCUAAAAUAGCAAAGCAAAGAUAACAAAAUUAUUUAAAUAGAACUACACACCUAGAAUGGUGGAACACAAAUUGAAAAAUCAAUUUAAAUAUCAAAACAAGAAUUCCUGAGUGUAGCUAAGAAAUGUCCAAACGAUGUAAGAACCAUCAAACUCAUCAAGAGGGUAGAUCUAAAGAACUGUUUCACCUUAUAACUCACCGCCAAAGAGGGUUUGAUUUUUCCAGACUUGUUGUUUCAUAGAUACAAAAAACAAACACAUACAUAGAUCUAGAGAGAGGAAAAGAGAGCGAUAUAAAAGUAAUGGGGAGAUCUAUGUAACACCUCGAUAUUUGAAAGAACUAGAAAGAGCUAGAAUUAGAAAGAGUCAUUUUUGGAAAGAAUGAAAAAUCUAUAAAAUUGGUUAAGUUAUGUUAAGUUUGGAUUUUGGUCAACUUCAAACUACCAUAUAUCCUAGAUCAUGAUGAUUAAAGUGUGCUUAUACCUAUUGUAAGAAAUAUCUUGGAAUAAGCUUUCCAACGCCGCCGAGUUUACUCAAUUCCGAGUUCGUAUGAGUGAGAUAUGCCUAUUUGAAGUUGGGCUGUUCAAAUAAGGAAAGUCUAAUCCGGAUUUUGGAAAGGUAGUUUGGUCUUUUCCUUACCCAAUUGAGUUAAUUCGGUUUUAGUAAAUUAAUUAGGGUGCAAACUGAAUUGGUUCAGUUUGCACAAUUGAAAAUUAACACUAUGGUUUUAGAGAGAAGAACUCAAGAUUUCAUCGUCUUCGUGAGGAAUUGAUUGCGGAUUUCGUCGAGGACUUGAUCCUACAAGGUAUGUGAGGCUUUCAUAACAUUGGGUUCAUUCACCCACGUGCCAACAUCUUUAUUUCAGCGUGAAUUCGUCCUAAAAAGAUUGGAAGUUUGAAUGUUCUUGAUGGGUGUUGUUGAAUUGCUUUCUUUCUUGAUUUUGGUUGAGAUUGAGGAGUUCUUGAGAGUUUAAUGUUGAUUGCUAGAGUUACUUUGAGUUAGAUUCUUGUGUAUAUGUUUUGGGUACUUGAAUAUAAAGAGAUGUUGAGAAAAAGAAUUGAAAUUAAUCGAAUUAAGGUCAGAAAACGAGAGGAAAAGUUCGUCAGGAAUUCACCUGGGAGGGCUUGGUGCAGCACGCCCCAUCUGGGCCGCUAGAAGUGCACCCACAACCAGUCUCUGAACUUUGGUGGCUGGCGCGGCGCACCAGCAGUACGCCAGGGCCGUCCCCCCCAACCCGUUUUUCAUCAUUUAUCCUGUUUAUGUCAAUCUAAAGUGUAAUAACGACUUCCUACUGAUUCUAACUACUCUAAAUGACUUCUAAACACCUAGAAAUCAUCCAUAAACUUGAAUCCAUAAAUUCAAAUUAAAGGAAAGUUAAGAGUCAAGUCUAAAAAGUUCUUAGAGUCUUUUCAAGAAGUCUUUUGCAAAUGUUUUAAACUUUGUUUUCAGACUUAAAGUUCAAGUUGAGUAAAGAGUAAAGAAUAAGGAUUGAAGUUCAUUUCUUCAAAGAGUAUAUGGGGACUAUGUAUUCCCAAAGAGUUUAAAAUGCUUUCACAUUUAAACAAGAAAAGGAAACCUUGAUUUCCAAAGAGCCUUUGAGCUAGUUUUCAGAAAAGAGUAAAUGCUUUCACAAUUAAGCAAGAGAGGAAACUUUGAUUUCCAAGAUAGCGCUUGAGCUAAGAUUUUGAUAAAUUAUCUCAAAUCACAUAAAGAAGUAUGUUUCUAAACGUAAGAGCUAGUAUCAUAUUUUGGGAGUAGUAUUGAGCACCGAUAUAGGGGAGAGUUUAGACAACUCACGGCUCCUAUAAACCAUGUAGCCACCAUGGGUAGAAAAGAGUCAUACUUUUUAGAUGAUCCCUUAGUGCUUUUUUAGCAUAGAGUAGUGGAUCCACUUAGUAGUCAGGUUAUAUACCCUCGGCAAGGUAUAGGACGGCCCUGGCAGCGUGAGACAAAACAUUGUAUCAUCACAAUAGCUCUUACAUGAUGGUUGUCGGUAGAGAACUCCCACAAAAGUUUUUUGUAUUUCUUAUAUGCAUAGUUUAUUUGUAUUUUUAUAUACAUUGCAGAGUUCAUAUUGUAUCUUCACAUAUAUACAGAGUUAGUAACGUAUUACUAAAUACACAAAGUUAUCAUUUAUGUUUUAAAAAUAUUUUCUAUAUAUUGCACUUGUUUAUACUGCUUUAUAUUGAAAUGAGUUCAGUUUAGUUGAGUUAAGUUGAGACCAGGUAAGUUCUUUCACUUCCUUUCAAGCUUAUGUCUUGUUUUAGAAUUCCCCUCGCAUACUCGUACAUUCAAUGUACUGAUGCCAUUUGGCUUGCAUCUUUUAAUGAUGCAGAUACAGGUAACCCGAAUCAACAUCCAGCACAUCGUUGAUUCUAGUUGAGAUCUAGAGUUUGUUGGUGAGCCUCCUUUCUUCCGGAGGAUCCCUUUUUAUUGCUUUUAGUAGUUUUAGCUCAUUAGGAUGUCGUGGGUCUUCUCCCGACAUCCAUCUCAGUUGUUUAGAGGUUUUAUAGACAGUCAUAUGUUAGUUCUUUAGUCUUUUCAUUUUCAUUAUCUUAUGUUGAGACUUGAGUUUGCCUUAUUGGCUAGUUGAAUGUUUUCUUUAUUACAUUCUAAGUUUUAUAUGUGUUAUCUUUGAUAAGUUGAGUUUUCCGCUAAGAGUUAAGUCAGGCCAGGGAUUCGCUUGGGGCCAACAAUGGUUCUCGAGUGCCAAUCCCGACAGGGUGUAAGCUCGGGGCAUGACAAACUUAGUAUCAGAGCACAGUGUUUAAGAGUCCUAAGGAUCCUAUGAAGUCGUGUCUAUUGAGUCCUAGUUAUUUGUGUGAAGCGUGUCACAUUUAUAAUUAAGAGGCUGCAACACUUAGGAAAGUAUCUCAUUUGGUUUAUAUUCAUUUUUGUGUUAGAGUUUGAUCUCUAAAAAGUUUCCUCUAACUCGUGCUUGCGCGUGUCUUUCAGAUCAUGCCUCCACGAAUAGCUGUCAGAGGUUGUCCGGCUAGAAGGAAUGUUGAACCACAGGAACAAGGGGUACCUAAUGCACCAGAAGUGCAACCCCAAUGAGAGGUCACCAAUGUUGAAUUUCGUGAAGCUAUCCCAAUGUUGAGCCAAGUUGUGACCAAUCAUAAUGGACAACAGAGAGGGAAUCGUCAGGAAGUGGUUGAUACUUCAAGGAUCCGUGAGUUCUGAAGGAUGAAUCCACCAAGCUUCACAGGUUCUAGUGUUCCUAAGGAUCCAAAGAAUUUUUUUGAGGAGCUUCAGAAAUUUUUCAAAAUCAUGCAUAUUGCGGAUACUGAGAUGGUGGAACUAGCUCCAUACCAAAUGAAGGGUUUCGCUAGGAUAUGGUUCGACCAAUGGAAGAAGAACCGAGUUUGGGGAGCACCACCUGCUAGUUGGGCAUUUUUUGAAGAGGCCUUCUUGGGGCAUUUCUUCCCCCGAGAACUGAGAGAGGCUAAGGUAUGAGAGUUCCUCACUCUUAAGCAGGAUUCAUUGAGUGUUUAUGAUUAUAGUCUGAGAUUCACACAACUUUCCUUCUAUGAUCCGAAGAUGGUUGCUCACAUGAGGAGUAAAAUGAGUUUAUUUAUUGCUGGGAUGUCUCGUCUGUCAAGUAAGAAAGGUAAGGCAGCUAUGUUGAUAGGGGAUAUGGACAUAGCAAGGCUAAUGAUCCAUAUACAACAAGUUGAGGAGGAUAAGCUAAGGGAUAGAGAAGAAGAGUUUAAGACUAAGAGUGCUAAGGUAAGGAAUGAGUCCCGGCAUCAGAAGAGUAAUGCCAACCGGUCAACUUUCCAACGGAAAUAGAAGGGACCUGCUCCAUCAUCUGCUAGUGCACAUGCACCAAAGAACAAAAGUGAGUACAAUAGGUAGAAUUUCAUAGCUAAACCUGCCUAUUCUCAGGGUAGUAUGGCACAAGGGGGUAGUAAUCCUUGUGCCUGUGCUAAGUGUGGUAGGCACCACUCAAGUAGAUGUCCUGAAGGCUCCACUGGUUGUUUCAAGUGUGGCCAGAAUGGUCAUUUCAUGCAAGAAUGUCCAAAGAAGAAGUAGGGUAACAGUAAUGGGGGGCUACAAAGCCCAGUCUUCUUCAGUUACUCCACCAGACAAAGUUGCACGUAGAGGAGCUACUUCAGGUACUGGAGGAGGAGCAAACCUCUUAUAUGCUAUCACUAGUCACCAAGAGCAAGAGAAUUCACCAGAUGUUGUCAAUGGUAUGAUCCAAGUCUUUAAUUUUAAUUUUUAUGCUCUGCUAGAUCCAGGAGCAAGUUUAUCCUUUGUAACUCCUUAUGUUGCGAUGAAUUUUAAUGUUCUUCCUGAGCAACUUAGUGAACCCUUUAGAGUUUCUACACAUGUUGGUGAGUCAAUUGUAGUAGAACGAGUCUAUCGUGAUUGUCCCAUUUUCGUCAAUAACAAGAGAACCAUGACUGAGUUAGUUGAGUUAGACAUGGUAGAUUUUGAUGUCAUUCUUGGUAUGGACUGGCUUCAUGCCAGUUAUGCCUCCAUUGAUUGUAGAACUCGAGUUGUCAAGUUCCAGUUUCUAAAUGAGCCAGUCUUAGAGUGGAAAAGAUGCUCAACAGUGCCUAAGGGUCGUUUCAUUUCGUGCCUUAAGGAAUGGAAGUUAGUUUCUAAGGGGUGUGUCUAUCACUUAGUUCGAGUUAAUGACUAGUGUUGACAUAACUCUUAUUCAGUCAGUUUCAGUAGUAAAAGAGUUCCAGAAGUCUUUCCAGAUGAUCUUCCCGGAGUCCCUCCUGAGAGAGAAAAUAGACUUCGGUAUAGAUAUUCUUCCAGAUACUCAUCCUAUAUCUAUUCCGCCAUAUAAAAUGGCUCCAGUAGAGUUGAAAGAGCUUAAAGAACAGUUAAAAGAUCUCCUUGAUAAGGGCUUUAUUCAACCAAGUGUCUCACCUUGGGGCGCUCUGGUCUUGUUUGUGAGGAAGAAGGAUGGUUCCCUUAGGAUGUGUAUAGAUUACCGUCAGUUGAACAAGGUUACCAUCAAGAAUAAGUAUCCUCUUCCAAGGAUUGAUGAUCUUUUCGAUCAACUUCAGGGUUCCACCUGUUUCUCUAAGAUAGACCUAAGAUCUGGCUACCAUCAGUUAAGAGUAAGGGAAUGUGAUAUUCCAAAGACAGCUUUCAGGAUCCGUUAUGGUCACUAUAAGUUUCUGGUCAUGUCGUUCGAUUUAACUAAUGCACCUGCAGCGUUCAUGGACCUUAUGAAUAAAGUAUUCAAGCCUUAUUUAGAUAUGUUUGUUAUCGUAUUCAUUAACGAUAUACUAAUCUAUUUGAGGAAUAAGGAAGAUCAUGCUAGCCAUCUCAGAAUAGUUCUCCAAACUCUAAAGGAUAGAGAGUUGUAUGCCAAGUUGUCUAAGUGUGAGUUUCGGCUUGAGUCUGUGGCAUUUUUAGACCACAUUAUGUCUAGAGAGGGAAUUAAGUUCAAUGUAGAAUUGGCCUAGACCCACAUCUCCAACUGAUAUUAGGAGUUUCUUGGGGUUGACUAGCUAUUAUAUAAAGUUCAUAGAGGGGCUCUCAUCUAUUUCAUCCCCUUUGACCAACUUGACUCAGAAGAUAGUUAAGUUUCAAUGGUCUAAAGCUUGUGAGAAAAGCUUUGAGGAAUUGAAAAAGAGGUUGACUACUACCCAGUGUUAACCUUACCAUAAGGUACACAAUGCUUUGUUGUAUAUUGUGAUGCGUCUAGAGUUUGUUUCGGUUGUGUGUUAAUGCAGAAUGGCAAGGUUAUAGCUUAUGCCUCCAGACAGUUAAAGGUUCAUGAGAGGAACUACCCAACCCAUGAUCUACAAUUGGCUGUCAUAGUUUUUGCUUUGAAAAUAUAGCACCAUUAUCUUUAUGGUGUUCAUGUGGAUGUGUUCACCGAUCACAAGAGCCUUCAAUAUAUGUUUACUCAGAAAGAGCUUAAUCUCAGACAAAGGAGGUGGUUGGAUUACUCAAGGAUUAUGACAUGAGCAUUCUUUAUCACCCAAGUAAGCCUAAUGUUGUCUAUAUGUAGUACCGCCCAUUUUGAGAAAGACAAGAAAGAGCUAGCGAUAGAUGUGCAUAGACUUACAUGCUUAGGAGUUCGACUAAUGGAUUCCACAGAAGGAGUAGUUGUGAUGAAUGGGACUGAAUCAUCUUUAGUGUCUGAAGUUAAAGAAAAACAAGACCAAGACCCAAUUUUGCUUGAUUUGAAGGAAAAUGUUCAUAAGCUAAAAGUAAUGGCUUUUGAACAAUGGGGAGAUGGUGUAUUGAGGUAUCAAGGUAGAUUGUGUAUACCAAGGGUGGAUGAACUCCUAGAGAGGAUCAUAACUCCAGAUAUUCCAUCCAUCCGGGUUCCACAAAGAUGCAUCAUGACUUGAGAGAAGUAUAUUGGUGGACUAGUAUGAAGAAAGGUAUUGCUGGGUUUGUUGUUAAAUACCUGAAUUGUCAACAAGUUAAAGGAGAGCACCAAAAGCCUGGUGGUAUAACUCAGAAUAUAGAACUUACAGAAUGGAAGUAGGAGAUGAUCAAUAUGGACUUCAUCAUAGGUUUUCCAAAGUCUCACAGGCAGCACGAUUCUAUUUGGGUGACUGUCGAUAGAAUGAAAAAAUCAGCCCACUGUUUGCCGGUAAAGACUACCCAUUCAGCAGAGGACUAUGCCAAAUUGUAUCUUCAAGAAGUAGUUAGACUUCAUGAAGUUCCGGUCUCCAUUAUUUCAGACAGAGGUGCACACAGUUUACUGCACAGUUUUGGAAGUCAUUCCAAAAAGGCUUGGGUUCAAAGGUGAACCUAAGUAUAGCUUUUCAUCGUUAGACAGAUGGGAAAUUAGAGAGCACUGUUCAGACCUUAAAGGAUAAGUUGAGGGCGUGCGUGAUCGAUCUCAAGGGUAAUUGGGAAGAUCACCUACCUCUCAUCGAGUUCACUUACAACAAUUGUUACCGCUUUAGUAUCCAGAUAGCCCCUUAUGAAGCUCUUUAUGGGAGAAGAUGUAGAUAUCAUAUUGGGUGGUUUGAGGUUGGUGAAGCAGGGUUGAUAGGACCAGACUUAGUCCAUCAAGCUAUGGAGUAAGUGAAAGUGAUUCAGGAAUGGUUGAAGACAGCACAAAGUCGUCAAAAAUCCUACACUGAUGUUAGGAGAAAAGAGUUAGAGUUUGAAGUAGAUGAAUGGGUCUACUUGAAAGUUCACCCAUGAAGGGUGUUAUGAGAUUUGGUAAGAAGGGGAAGCUUAGUCCUCGGUAUAUUGGCCCUUAUGGAAUAUCCAAAAGGAUUGAUAAUGUAGCUUAUGAGUUAGAUUUACUUGUUAGGUGUUUGAACUGAAAGUUAGAUGUUGCACCCUUAGCCUACUAAGAGUAAUCUCAUUCGAGGAUGAAUGCUCCCAUGGGGGAGAUAUUGUAACACCUCGAUAUUUGAAAGAACUAUAAAGAGAUAUAAUUAGAAAGGGUCAUUUUUGGAAAGAAUGAAAAAAUUGGAAAAUUGGUUAAGUUAUGAUAAGUUUGGGGUUUUGUCAACUUCAAACGACCAUAACUCCUAGCUCAGGAUGAUUUAAGUGUGCUUACAGAUAUCCUAGGAAAGACCAUGGAAUAAUAUUUCCAACGCCGCCAAGUUUACUCAAUUCCGAGUUUGUAUAAGUGAGAUAUUCCCAUUUGAAGUUGAGUUGUACAAAUAAGAAAAGUCUAAUUCGAAUUUUGGAACGGUAGUUUGGUCUUUUACUUACCCAAUUAAGUUGACUCGUUUUUAGUGAAUUAAUUAGGGUGAAAACUGAAUUGGUUCAGUUUGCACAAUUGGAAAUUAACACUAGGGUUUUAGAGAGAAGAGAAGAGGGAAAUCAAGAUUUCGACGUCUUCGUGAGGAAUUGAUUGUGGAUUUCAUCGAGGACUUGAUCCUACAAGGUAUGUGAGACUGUCAUAACAUUGGGUUCGUUCACCCACGUGUAAAACAUGUUUAUUUCAGCGUGAAUUCGUCCUAAAAGGAUUAGAAGUUUGAAGUUCUUGAUGAGUGUUCUUUAAUUGCUUCCAUUCUUCAAUUGGGGUUGAGAUUGAGGAGUUCUUGAGAGUUUAAUGUUGAUUACUACAGUUACUUUCAGUUAGAUUCUUGUGUAUAUGUUUUGGGUACUUGAAUCUAAAGAGAUAUUGAGAAAAAUAAUAGAAAUUAAUCGAAUUAAGGUCAGAAAACGAGAGGAAAAGUUCAUCAAGAAUUCACCUAGGGAGGGCCUAGCGCGGCGCGCCCCAUCUGGGCCGCCAGCGGUGCACCCACAACCAGUCUCUGAACUUUGGUGGCUGACGCGGCGCACCAGCAGUGCGCCAGGGCCGUCCGCCCCAACCCGUUUUUCAUCGUUUAGCCUGCUUAAGUCCUUCUAAAGUGUACUAACACUUCCUAUUGAUUCUAACUACUCUAAAUGACUUCUAAACACCUAUAAAUCAUCCAUAAAGUUGAAUCAUAACCUUGAAUCUGUAAAUUCAAAUUCAAGGAAAGUUAAGAGCCAAGUCUAGAAAGUUCUUAGAGUCUUUUCAAGAAGUCUUUUACAAAUGUUUUAAACAUUCUAUUAAAACUUAAAGUUCAAGUUGAGUAAUGAGUAAAGAGUAAAGAUUGAAAUUCAUUUCUUCAAAGAGUAUAUGGGGACUAUGUAACCCAAAGAGUUUAAAAUGUUUUCACAUUUAAACAAGAAAAGGAAACCUUGAUUUCAAAAAGAGCCUUCGAGCUAGUUUUCAGAAAAGAGUAAAUACUUUCAUAAUUAAGCAACAAAGGAAACUUUGAUUUCCAAGAUAGCCCUUGAGCUAAGUUUUUAAGCAAUUACCUCAAAUCACAAAAAGAAGAAUGUUUUUAAACAUAAGAGCUAUAUCAUAUUUUGGGAGUAGUAUUGAGCACCGAUAUGGGGGAGAGUUCAGACAACUCACAGCCCCAUAAACCAUGUAACCAUCAUGGGUAGAAAAGGGUCAAACUUUUUAGAUGAUUUUUUAGUGCUUUUUAGCAUAGACCAGUGGAUCCACUUUGUAGUUAGGUUCUAUACCCUCGGCAAGGUAUAGGACGGCCCUGGUAGCGUGAGGUAAAACGUUGUAUCAUCAUAAUUGCUCUUACGUGAUGGUUGUUGGUUAGAGAAACUCCCACAAAAGUUUUUUGUAUUCUUAUAUGCACAGUUUAUUUUUAUUUUUAUCUAUAUUUCAGAGUUCAUAUCUUCGCAUACAUACAGAGUUAGUAUGGUAUUUCUAAAUACAUAGAGUUAUCAUUCAUGUUUUAAAAAGCUUUUCUUUAUUUGCACUUGUUUAUACUGCUUUAUAUUGAAAUGAGUUCAAUUCAGUUGAGCUGAGUUGAGACCAGGUAAGUUCUUUAAGUUCCUUUCAAGCUUAUGUCUUGUUUUAGAAUUCCUCUCGCAUACUAGUACAUUCAAUAUACUGAUGCCAUUUGGCCUACAUCUUUUAAUGAUGCAGAUACAAGUAACCAGGAUCAACAUCCAGCGCAUCGUUGAUUCUAGUUGAACUCCAGACUUCGUUGGUGAGCCUCAUUGCUUCCAGAGGAUCCCCUUUUAUUGCUUUUAGUAGUUUUAGCUCAUUAGGAUGUCGUGGGUCUUAUCCCGACACCCAUCCAUCUGAGUUGUUCAGAGGCUUCAUAGACAGUCAGAUGUUAGUUCUUUUGUCUUUUCAUUUUCAUUAUCUUAUGUUGAUACUUGUGUUUGCCUUAUUGGCUAGUUAAAUGUUUUCUUUGAUACAUUCUAUGUUUUAUAUGGGUUAGCUUUUAUAAGUUGAGUCUUCCGCUAAGAGUUAAGCCAGACCAGGGGUUCGCUGGGGGCUAUCAGUGGUUCUCGAGUGCCAUUCCCGCCCAGGGUGUAGGAUUGGGGUGUGACAAACUACAUCGCCCGACUCCAGUUAGAAAAUAAAAGAACAAAAGAGGUAAAGAGAUAAAGAAAGAAGAGUAACUCGGUCAACUCAAAACUCAUCACCAAAAAACAAGUUUAAUUUUUAGCUUUUCGAUAUAAUUAUGUAGUUGUAUGUAAUGAACACAAUGAAUUCUUAGGAAAGAACACUUUGGACAAUAAAGCUUACCUCUGCUUGAAGAACCAACUUGACGAGAAAACGAUGAUAUUCUUGGGGAAAUUUGUAUGCAGGGAGAAAAUACAAAGAGAAAAAUUAAUAAAAAGAGUAGAAACAAAAAGAAAUCAUAUGAAUAUUGUUGAUGAUAAUAAUUACAUUGUUGGAGAUGAAAAACAAGCUAGAAAGAAGAACAUGUCUAUUACUAUUGAGGAACAAAACAAUAGUAGUCCUAAAGCUGAAAAUGAUGUUGUAUCAAAUAGAAAACACAAUUUGAGAAGGAAGAGAGGCAGAAAAAGUACAAAUGAGAUUGAUGAAAGAAAAAGUCAUAGUGGUCCCAUUAAUAGGACUAUUACACGUAAGGACUACACAUCGGUCCAUUUUGUGUAGUCCUUAUAUACACGUAAUAGUCUUAUUAAUAGGACCACUCUGACCUUUUCCUUCAUUAAUCUUUUUUGUUCUUUUUCUAUCUCUCUUCAUCUUGAACUCGUGUUUUCCAUUUGAUACAACAUUGUUUUCAGCCUGAUGACUAUUAUUGCUUUGUUCCUAUGUAGUAAUAGACAUAUUCUUUUUUCGAGCUUGUUCUUCAUCUCAAACAAUAUAAUUAUUAUCAUCAAGAAUAUUAAUAUGAUCUCCCUUUGUUUCUACUAUUUUUAUUAAUUUCUCUCUAUGUAUUUUCUCCCUCCAUACAAAUUGCCACAAGUAUGUCACAAUUUUAUCGUCAAGUGGCUUCUUCAAGCAAAGGUAAUCUCCAUUGUCCAAAGCAUUUCUUACUAUGCAUUCAUUGUGCUCAUCACAUACAACUACAUAAUUAUAUUGAAAAGCUAACAAUUAAAUUUGGAAGAGUAAUUAGGUUUGAUUUAUUCAAACUUGUUACUUUGUGGAUACUAAAAAUAGUCACAUACACAUAUCGAUAGAGAAUGAAAGAGAGUGAUAAAGAAUUUAGGGGCGAUUUACGUCGUCUCACUCAAGUUUGCAAGUAGAAGAAUAGAAAUAGUAGAGAGAGAGGGAGAGGGAGAGGGAGUGGGAGAGGAGAAAGAGGUGUUACUCAUAGGAAUUUAUUUUAUUGCCUUGUUUUUUAAUUCCAAUGCUCUCACAUAUCUGGUUUAGGUAAAUUUGUUUAUAAUUAGGCUAUUAAAAAAAAAUCUUAAUAUUCAUUACCCCUAAAAUAAACUAGCCACCGUCGAUAAACCUAGUCUUGCUGAUCAAUGUCGGUGGCCAUGGUCUGCACGAUACCAGGUCAGCCCUCUCCCGAGACUGGCCAGAGAAAGGAGUUUGCGUUGUUAUUUAAAUCAGAAUCAGUUACUACUAAACCAUUACUUAUUAGACCAAUAUCAUACUUGCAUGGUGAGACAAGAAUAAUAUGGGAGGAGGAAUAGUAGGUGACACAGAUAAUAUACAAACAGAAUCUACAAUAUGCGGUCAUUGGAAAAUUUUCUUAUGGGAUGCCUGAGAUCAGAGAGUUGGGGAAGUUUAUUCUUAAACGAUGCGAAUUAAAAGGGGAAUGCAAUACUGGGCUCCUUGGUAAUCAUCAUGUGUUAAUCAGAGUGUAAUCAUGGAAACUUAUGUGAAUUUAUUAUCUAAGCCAACUUUUUACUUAACCCAUCGACAAUGCUCCUACCCAAUGAGAACCCUUAAGUGGGAUCCAAUGUUUGGUCCGGAGGAAGAAAUAACAACAACCAUUGCGUGUAUAUCUUUUCCAUCCCUUCCCCGAAUUUCUUUGUGAAAGAGGCAAUAUACUCGUUCGCUGCUGUGGUGGGGAAGCCGUUGCAAGUUGAUAUGGCAACAAAGAAUCAAACUAGACCUAAUUGUGCUAGGGUGAUGGUCGAGGUUGAUCUGUUAGGUGAUUUCCCAAAAUAGAUAAACAUUAGAGUAAGGAAGCAUGGAAAAAUGGGUGCGGAUAAAUUAUGAUCAUAGCCCAAAAUAUUGUGUUAAUAGUCUAUUGCAAGGACAUAAUUGAGCAUGAAUGUUAUGCAUUGCACCCUUAAUUGUAUCCUAAGAAAACAGAGGGGACUGCAAAGGAGAAAGGGGAGAUACAAAGUGAUAGUAUAAAUAAAAAAGUUAUAGAGGGGGAAAAACCAAUAAUGGGAACGAUAACACAGAAGGAGAAGGACAAAGAGGAAUUUCAAGUGCAAAGAAACAGAAAACAUCUAGGGAGUAGAAGAAUACAAGUGUGGAAUCUGAAACCAACACAACCAGAGAAGAGGGUGAUGAGUCCAUAAUUUGGAAUCAUUUAGGGCUAUAUUGUGAUGAAAUUAGUGCCCUCAAAUGCAUGUUUUAUCCUGAUAUCUGAUGAAAACCUUUAAGUUUCAGGUAUUUGAAGUUUGAGGCAAAGCAUGGACACUACUUCGCAAAAAGGAGCAAAAAGAAGUCGAAAGAAUGAAGAAAGGAAGAUCUGUGAAUCGCCAAACCUAUUCGGCGAAUAGCCAACAGAUCACAUAUUCGCCUUUUGUUCCAGUGUGCUGAGCCCUGAAGGAAAGGAGAAAAUCAACGGUGCAAAGGAGAAGUCGGCGUAUCACCGAACGACUCCGCGAAGCAGUGCUACAUCACUCAAUUAUCCAGAACACAAAGAUGCUGAAGGCAACUGAUGAAAGGCGACGAAGUAGACCAAACAGUGGAUCGCCAAAUGCAUCGGUGAUUCCCACUAACGUCGUCGAGAGAUCCUUCAGAGCACAUUUUCUGAAAACUAUAAAUAUUAGUUCCGUUUUUUAUUCUUAGGAGUGAAUUUUACCUUGCUUUACCUAGUUUUUAGAUUAUUAAGUUUUAGACAGAGUUUUGGAUAUAUUCUCUCUAUGUUUUGGAGAGGGUUUUGAAGAACUUGGAGCUUUCAAGGGUUUCUUCUUCAAGAAAUUGGACUUGGGUCUCUUGGAUUCUUCACUUUUUGCCUGUUUUAAGACUUAAUCCUGCAUACCCAUUGAUGGAAACUGAGAUUGGUAUACUUGUUUAUCUUUUUUACAUGUGUGGCUAAAAACCCCAAUUCUUGGGGUGUGAUUUUGUGAAUAUGGGUUAGAUUAGUUGUUGGGUCUUGCUUGUUGAUAGUCUAUUCGUAGUAUAAAUGUGAUUUCGUUUAGUGGUUGUGGAUGAACUUAAUGAGGCUGUAGUUGCAAAUAUAAUCUCAUAUAUGUGUUUUCGGCUUGCUCGAGAUAGAGGUCGUAAAACUAGGACCACUAAAUUGAUGGCCAGUGCGAGUGGGUCGACAUGAGGUUCAGCUCGAGAGAGUGAACCCUAGUCCCAUGUCCACACACUCAGCUCGAGAGAGUGAGUGGGUUAAGGUGGAGGUUGUUCUUCAUGCGGCAAGUGGGUGUCCGAGAGGAACCCGCUUGAAACGGGGUAAGUUGCUCGAGAGAGAGCAUAUCCCCUUUAAAGUCUAACCUAGUCACAAACACUCAAUGAAUUUACUAUCAAAAGCAUGUACCCAAUGAUUUAGUCUAUCCCGUAUUCCUAUCGCAUCCCAAGAAUCCCGUCUCCAUACUUGUAUUUUUCUUUAUUUUCACUAUUUUAGUGGUUUCUUGCUUACAACCCCCCCCCCCCAAUUUGAUAAUUGAUGCUUGUGUCACCCUAUUUAACUUGUUAUGUUUUUAUUUUCUAAACUCUUUAGCUACAAUUAAGUUUAGCAUGUUUACGCUUAACCACUAAUUUUGACGCCCACUCCCUUGGGACUCGACCCCAACCCUUAGUUGGGUUAUUAUACUAUUUAUUUUCUAAACUCUUUAGCUACAAUUAAGUUUAGCAUGUUUACGCUUAACCACUAAUUUUGACGCCCACUCCCUUGGGACUCGACCCCAACCCUUAGUUGGAUUAUUAUACUAUUGCACGAUCAUAGACACUUGCAUCUGAAGUUGGGUCCUUGAUUACGCAAACAUCAGGGGAUGAAGGAGAUCGUGACUACAGGAAAUCAAUUUGAAGCUCUACAUGAUCCGGAUAUAAGGGAUGCAGAAGAAACAUGAACAAAAGAGAAAACACUAACAAUGAAAUGGGUAGAAAAUGCCUUUAGUAAACUAAAAGGGGAUGAGGAACAAAGAAAUACAAUGGAACAAGAAUAGGAGGUAACGAAGGAGAUAAAUCAAGAUCAAAAGGAAAUACCAUCAAGUUACAUGGAAGGGGUUCAACAUUGACAGUAUGGAAGCCAAAUUGUGGUGUGGAAAAGGUUUCACCACAGUCGAUAACCAUAAUUGAGCGGUGCUCACAAGAUAAGAAUUUUAAAGACAUACAUGAGCUCACUCCAGAACAAAAGAGAAUGUGAUAGGGAGAAGAAGAAGAUGAGGACUUCGAGAUGAACAUUCUUAAUGCAGAUAUUAUUCUAUCCCACAUAAUAUUUGUUUCCAUACAACAUCCCAGGCCCUCAUAUCCACCAACUUCUCCCCAAUCUCUUAAGCUUUGGCUCUAAUCAGUCCUCUCCCAUAUAAUCUUUGGUUGUUCACAUACAACCUCUUUUUUUUUCCUUUUUCUUUUUAAUCCUAAGAUAUAAAUUCAUAACUACAAGCUUACAUUGGAUUAUAAAAUUUUCAGUUGGGAUAAACUUUCAAUUCUUACAUACACCUAUGUCACUCUUUAUAAGGAUCAAGUAAAUUAUUUGAGUCUUAGCCAACACAACAUGAAAGGUUACCAAAUGUUUCUCUUUGUUUUUCCUGGAAGCUCAAGUUAUCUAUGACAACUCAAAAACAUCUGUGAAGUCUAAACAAACUCUUCCUUCAUAUCUAUCACCAAAUUCAAUGUCCUCACGUACAUCAUCAUAACCUCUUCGAGUUGUCCCUAUGUGAUCAUCAAAAUAUCCUCAUAUAAAAAAUUUCUUGGUCUACCAGAUACCUCUCAUUACCUUGUCCAACUGAUCCUUCCUGAAUUGUUGUCUUCUCUAUGAAAACCAUUUGUGGUCCAUAUGCAUUUAUUACAUUAAGAGUUAUCGUCCCAGAGUUGUUUAAUGAUCAUCAUCCUAUCGUUCACCUUCCUAACCACCACCAUUUUCUCCAUGUGUUUCAUAUCUUCUAAAAUAUCUAAUUCAUUCUAAAUCAAUUACCUAAUAAUGACAGAAAGUAGAAAUUCAUGAUUGCUAAAAUAGAAAAGCAAAGAUAACAAAAUUAUUUAAAUAGAACUACACAACUAGAAUGGUGGAACACAAAUUGAAAAAUCAAUUCAAAUAUCAAAACAAGAAUUAUAGAACCUGAGAGUAGUCGAGAAAUGUCCAAACGAUGUCAGAACCAUCAAACUCAUCAAGAGGGUAGAUCUUUAAGAUUGGUCCAACCGUCAUAAUGUGGCAACUCUGAAAAAGAAUGAAUGAUAAGUGAUAUAACAGAGAGGUGAACCUUUAUACAACAGUGUCAAAACCCUAUCAAUCAGUUUAGCAGGUUUAACUACCCUUGGAUUCAGAUCCCAUCACAAUGGAAAGGAACUAUCAAAUAUCUUUACCAAUACAUGCCUAAAUUGUACUAUCAAGCUGUUAGUUGGCAAAAACCAGAGAAGGAUCGGGUAAAUGUAAUACAGACGGCCCUCUAGAGGAAAUCCAGGAGAUAGUACUUAUGCUUUCUAUGUUAGAGAUAAUAAGGGGGGAAUUGAUAUUUGACUGGUCGCAUCAAAUAGGGAUUACCACCAACAUCAUGGCGGAGGCGAUAGCGGUAUUGAAAGCACUAAGAUAUUGCAGACAAAAGCAAUAUAGAAAGGUGAUUCUCGAAACACUCUCGGGGAAUUAAAAACAUAUUACUGAGGGUUUUGAAAAUUCCUUGGGAACUGGUGGAGAUUAUGGAUUAAUCUAUUUGUAUAAUUGAUCAACAUGGGAUAGAAGUGAAACAUGUUUUCGGAGGAGGUAAUCACUUAGCAGAUGUAUUGGCUAACAACGCCGACAGUCACAUAGAAAAGCAAGAGUACAUGCAAAUGCAGCUACCAGAGUAAUGCCGGAAAAUACUAAACAUGGACAAACAACAUAUCAUGUGUUUUCGUAGCUAAACGAGGAAGAUUAAAGAUACCAACCAACAUGGACUACAUUCACAUUGAUCAUCAGCACAUAGAGUCUCACAGAUAUUAUAUAUAUAAAUUAAGUUUGUGCCACUACAAGGGCCUAAUAUCUUCGAGAAAAGAAAAGCUACUUAGCCUUGGCUAUGACAACUUACAAAAAGGUCCACCGGCAAAAGUUGAGGGAUACACGGUCAGAUUUGAAUCCCAAGAGCAUCAAUG